GAUGAAGAACGUAGCGAAAUGCGAUAAGUAAUGCGAAUUGCAGAAUUUCCGUGAGUCAUCGAAUCUUUGAACGCACAUUGCGCCCAUUGGUAUUCCGAUGGGCAUGCCUGUUCGAGCGUCAUUUGUACCCUCAAGCUUUGCUUGGUGUUGGGCGUCUUGUCUCUAGCUUUGCUGGAGACUCGCCUUAAAGUAAUUGGCAGCCGGCCUACUGGUUUCGGAGCGCAGCACAAGUCGCACUCUCUAUCAGCAAAGGUCUAGCAUCCAUUAAGCCUUUUUUUCAACUUUUGACCUCGGAUCAGGUAGGGAUACCCGCUGAACUUAAGCAUAUCAAUAAGCGGAGGA
rnacentral:misc_RNA from 1 species